CUGCUUGCUCUCUUCUAACACCCUGUUCUCAGACUCCUCCGCGCCUCUCCGCCUGUCCUCAGGAUCAUGAAGGUCGCCAGUAGCAGUGCCGCGGCCACCGCAGGCCCCAGCUGUUCGCUGAAGGCAGGCAGGACGGCGGGCGAAGUGGUGCUUGGUCUGUCGGAGCAAAGCGUUGCCAUCUCGCGCUGCGCUGGGACGCGCCUGCCCGCCUUGCUGGACGAACAGCAGGUGAACGUUCUGCUCUACGACAUGAACGGCUGCUACUCACGCCUCAAGGAGCUGGUGCCUACCCUGCCUCAGAACCGCAAAGUGAGCAAGGUGGAGAUACUGCAGCAUGUUAUCGACUACAUCAGGGACCUGCAGCUGGAGCUGAACUCUGAGUCUGAAGUCGCGACCGCCGGAGGCCGGGGGCUGCCCGUCCGGGCCCCGCUCAGCACCCUGAACGGCGAGAUCAGUGCCUUGGCGGCCGAGGUGAGGCGGCAUGUGUUCCAGCCGACGACCGCAUCUUGUGUCGCUGAGGCGGCGCACUGAGGAACCAGAUGGACUCCAGCCCUUCAGGAGGCAAGAGGAAAAAAAGUGCUCUCGGUUCCCCAGAGCAACCCGGGGAAAGACACUACCGCGGCCACGGGACUCUUGACGGAUCUGUCCAGGGGGUAGAGGGUUGAUCAACGGAGUCUCGCCCUCUCCACCUUUCAGCCUCCAGAGACUUUGAGGAGGGGGUUAUUCAACCCCGUGUGUUUCUGUUUUUUUGAAAAAGCAGACAUUUUUUUUAAAUGGUCACAUUUCGUGCUUCUCAGAUUUCUGAGAAAAUGUUUUGUAUUGUAUAUUACAAUGAUCACUGGCUGAGAAUAUUGUUUUACAAUAGUUCUUAUGGGGGUGGGUUUUUUGUUGUUAUUAAACAAACACUUUAGAU
rnacentral:lncRNA from 1 species